AACCAACAGGGAUUGCCUUAGUAACGGCGAGUGAAGCGGCAAAAGCUCAAAUUUGAAAGCUAGCACCUUCGGUGUUCGCGUUGUAAUUUGAAGAUAGUUUCCUUGAGUAGUCCUUUAUCUAUGUUCCUUGGAACAGGACGUCAUAGAGGGUGAGAACCCCGUAUGAUUUUGGAUACUACUCUUUGUGGGAUUCUAUCGAAGAGUCGAGUUGUUUGGGAAUGCAGCUCUAAGUGGGUGGUAAAUUCCAUCUAAAGCUAAAUAUUGGCGAGAGACCGAUAGCGAACAAGUACAGUGAUGGAAAGAUGAAAAGAACUCUGAAGAGAGAGUGAAAAAGUACGUGAAAUUGCUGAAAGGGAAGGGCUUGAGGUCAGACUUGGUGUUUAAUGAUUAUCAGUUCUUCUUGGACUGUGCACUCGUUUUUCACCGGGCCAAUAUCAGUUUUAGCGGUAGAGUACCCCUUGAAAUGUGGCUUCCUUCGGGGAGUGUUAUAGUCUUGGGGGAGAUCUACUUGCUGGGACUGAGGACUGCGCUUCGGCAAGGAUAUUGGCGUAAUGACCUUAAGCCGC
rnacentral:rRNA from 1 species